rnacentral:lncRNA from 1 species
UACAUUUGUAUUCUAUAUGAUAGCCAAAAUGUCAUUAUAUAAUUCCAAAAAAUAGUAAGACCUUCUUGUCCUUUUGGAAUCGGAGAACAAGUUAAAGAAUAACUUGUUACUUCAUUUAUUUAUCAAAAAGAAUAGGCUAUGAAAUAGCCAUGGUCCAUUACCUAUAAAGCCAAAGGAGGGAAUUUACAGCUGACAACAAAAGACAUUGAGGAUUUUCGUGUAACUCCAUACUGAAAGCAACCCUCAAUUAUCCAUCUUCCUGCGAUGGCCUAUCCUCACGGCCCUACUUUGAAAGCCAUUCUCCUAAGCAACCUUAGUUAUCGGGACCACCGCUGGAACUUGUGGCACUAGGUACUCUGUGUAUAAGCGACGCCACUUGUUUUAAAUACCUUUUGCCAAACUUAGCCUGUAUAAAAAAGAACCGAGACCGACGACUGGAAAUCAGACCGAUAAAGUUGAACCGAGAUCGUUGAAAUGAAAGAACCGAGACCAGGAACUAUAGAACCACUGAGCCUGAACCGGGCAAUACCUUGUUUAAUUGUUAAAUUCAAAAUAUUAAUAUCCUUAAAAUCAAAUUAUUAUACUGAGGAUCAUUAUAAGCUUAUGAAAGGCUCAUAAGUGAAAGUACUUGUUAGACUUUGAGUAGAAUUGAUGAUCGAUAAAGGAGACAUUCUUACAUAUGAACUUGUUUGAUUCGAAGUGGGACUUCAGUAUAUUUUCAUUAAUUGAAUGAAACAUUAUAUGACAAAUAAGUUCUCUCUUCUUCAAAAUUCUUAAAAUUGUCAGGGUUACCAUGUUAUUUUUAUAUACAAAAAUGUAAGCAAUUUACAGCCUUACAUAAAAGCAGGGCUGUGAACAGAAUGCAAAUUUGAACACGUAUUCAAUGAACGGAACGGAAUUUAUUUUUGAACGCUAAAAAUGAGAUUUUAGCAUUCUGUUCCGAUGGUACUUACAAAAAAUUCAAGAAAUCAAAGUUUAGAUAUUUUUAAAUGUGAUUUAAUGGGCUGGUUAAGGAGAAACGAACACUUGGGUGACAUUCGAAGGCUUCUUCCUUUACAUAUAAUAGCAUACACUAUGCUCAAAACACGUGUGAUUAAAAAGUAUAUUUCAAAAUGCGAUGUAUA